UGUGGUGAUGAUGGCUUGAAGGAUACACCUGUUCCCAUGCCGAACACAGAAGUUAAGCUUCAACACGCCAAAAGUAGUUGGGGGAUCGCUCC
rnacentral:rRNA from 1 species